GACAGAGGGUGCAAACGUUGUUCGGAAUUACUGGGCGUAAAGCGUGUGUAGGCGGCUCUGCAAGUCGGAUGUGAAAGCCCCGGGCUCAACCUGGGAAGUGCAUUCGAAACUGCUGAGCUUGAGUAUCGGAGAGGUUGGUGGAAUUCUCGGUGGAGAGGUGAAAUUCGUAGAUAUCGAGGGGAACACCAGUGGCGAAGGCGGCCAACUGGACGAAUACUGACGCUGAGACACGAAAGCGUGGGGAGCAAACAGG
rnacentral:rRNA from 1 species